GACGAACGCUGGCGGCGUGCUUAACACAUGCAAGUCGAACGAUGAAGCUGGAGCUUGCUCCGGUGGAUUAGUGGCGAACGGGUGAGUAACACGUGAGAAAUCUGCCCCUGACUCUGGGAUAACUGCGGGAAACUGUAGCUAAUACCGGAUACUUUCCCUGGUGGGCAUCCACUGGGGAAGAAAGAAUUUCGGUCAGGGAGGAUCUCGCGGCCUAUCAGCUAGUUGGUGAGGUAACGGCUCACCAAGGCGACGACGGGUAACCGGCCUGAGAGGGUGACCGGUCACACUGGGACUGAGACACGGCCCAGACUCCUACGGGAGGCAGCAGUGGGGAAUAUUGCACAAUGGGCGCAAGCCUGAUGCAGCAACGCCGCGUGAGGGAUGAAGGCCUUCGGGUUGUAAACCUCUUUUAGCAGGGAAGAAGCGAAAGUGACGGUACCUGCAGAAAAAGCACCGGCUAACUACG
rnacentral:rRNA from 2 species